rnacentral:rRNA from 1 species
CCUAGUAGCGGCGAGCGAAGCGGGAAGAGCUCAAAUUUAUAAUCUGGCACCUUCGGUGUCCGAGUUGUAAUCUCUAGAAAUGUUUUCCGCGUUGGACCGCACACAAGUCUGUUGGAAUACAGCGGCAUAGUGGUGAGACCCCCGUAUAUGGUGCGGACGCCCAGCGCUUUGUGAUACAUUUUCGAAGAGUCGAGUUGUUUGGGAAUGCAGCUCAAAUUGGGUGGUAAAUUCCAUCUAAAGCUAAAUAUUGGCGAGAGACCGAUAGCGAACAAGUACCGUGAGGGAAAGAUGAAAAGCACUUUGGAAAGAGAGUUAACAGUACGUGAAAUUGUUGGAAGGGAAACGCUUGAAGUCAGACUUGCUUGCCGAGCAAUCGGUUUGCAGGCCAGCAUCAGUUUUCCGGGAUGGAUAAUGGUA